GAAAGGCCGGAUUUUCCGGCUGGGUGUUUACCGAGACACCCCAAUUAGG
rfam:Blautia sp. An249 An249_contig_8, whole genome shotgun sequence.